rnacentral:lncRNA from 1 species
UAUGUUGCAAAUUUUGUUUUUGCCCAAACUUUAUAAUCCUGGCUCCACAAGCAAAAGGGUGCGAUAUCAAGAGUGCUUUCGAACAUCAGGGUUGGUUGUCUUAUUUUGAAAUGUUCAAUGAUCAUGCGUAUACAAAUCUAGUAUACUUCUGGGUAAUGACUGAAGUUGUUGAUUUUUAUGAAGCCGGUAGGGAAUUAAAGCUCAAGUAGAAAGAGUCUAAAGCUAACAAAGGGAAAAGUC